UGGGGAAUAUUGGACAAUGGGGGCAACCCUGAUCCAGCAAUGCCGCGUGUGUGAAGAAGGUCUUCGGAUUGUAAAGCACUUUCGACGGGGACGAUGAUGACGGUACCCGUAGAAGAAGCCCCGGCUAACUUCGUGCCAGCAGCCGCGGUAAUACGAAGGGGGCUAGCGUUGCUCGGAAUGAUUGGGCGUAAAGGGCGUGUAGGCGGUUUACACAGUCAGAUGUGAAAUCCCCGGGCUUAACCUGGGAGCUGCAUUUGAUACGUGUAGACUAGAGUGUGAGAGAGGGUUGUGGAAUUCCCAGUGUAGAGGUGAAAUUCGUAGAUAUUGGGAAGAACACCGGUGGCGAAGGCGGCAACCUGGCUCAUGACUGACGCUGAGGCGCGAAAGCGUGGGGGAGCAAACAGGAUUAGAUAC
rnacentral:rRNA from 1 species